rnacentral:lncRNA from 1 species
UUUGACUGUGUCUGAAUUGAUCGAUUUUGGCCAAACUUCUCCGUCUAUUUCUGCAAGUAUGAGGGCUCCUCAUGUCGAAUUCAGGUGAACCAUGUAUGAACCUUUCCACUUGGUAGAGAACUUCCCUUUGGCUUCAUCUUGAUGUGGGAAAAGUUUCUUUAACACCAGCUGCCCCGAUGCAAAUUGUCUCAGUUUGACUCUUUUGUUGAUGGCUCUGGACAUUCUCUUCUAGUAAAGUUGACCAUGACAAACUACGUUCAUUCUUUUUCCAUCUAUAAGGGCUAACUUCUUGUAGCGACUCUUUACCUGUUCCACGUUGUCAAGUUCAGCUUCCUGUAUGAUUCUCAAGGAGGGAAUUUCUAUCGUAGCGGGAAUGACUGCUUUUGUACCAUAAACCAACAUAUAGGGAGUUGCACCAAUUGAUGUGCUAAUUGUGGUACGGUACCCAAAUAAAGAAAAUGAUAACUUCUCAUGCCACUGCUUAUGCU